rnacentral:rRNA from 1 species
UCCUACGGGAGGCAGCAGUAGGGAAUCUUCCGCAAUGGACGAAAGUCUGACGGAGCAACGCCGCGUGAGUGAAGAAGGUUUUCGGAUCGUAAAACUCUGUUGUUAAAGAAGAACGAGGAUGAGAGUAACUGCUCAUCCCCUGACGGUAUUUAACCAGAAAGCCACGGCUAACUACGUGCCAGCAGCCGCGGUAAUACGUAGGUGGCAAGCGUUAUCCGGAAUUAUUGGGCGUAAAGCGCGCGCAGGUGGUUUCUUAAGUCUGAUGUGAAAGCCCACGGCUCAACCGUGGAGGGUCAUUGGAAACUGGGAGACUUGAGUGCAGAAGAGGAAAGUGGAAUUCCAUGUGUAGCGGUGAAAUGCGUAGAGAUAUGGAGGAACACCAGUGGCGAAGGCGACUUUCUGGUCUGUAACUGACACUGAGGCGCGAAAGCGUGGGGAGCAAACAGGAUUAGAUACCCUGGUAGUCCACGCCGUAAACGAUGAGUGCUAAGUGUUAGAGGGUUUCCGCCCUUUAGUGCUGAAGUUAACGCAUUAAGCACUCCGCCUGGGGAGUACGGCCGCAAGGCUGAAACUCAAAGGAAUUGACGGA